UUGAGGGGAACCUGGAUUUAUCUUCAUGUGGUUAACCUGAAGUGUACUGCGAAUAUGAGGGCUGAUAUUCAAGGGGUAAAGGGCAGCAACGCCAGCACCUUCUCCCAAAGCACAGCAAGUCUCCUCUUUGGCAGGCGGUUGAUCUGCCUGCUCUACCUUGGACACUGCGCUGCGUCCACGCAGGGGGCUAAGCCCCACGGGAACCGAGCGUUUCAUCAGGGUCACGCACCAUGGUUAGGAGACUUUCUUUCUUUCUUUUUUUUCUUUUUAUUGCAUACCUUAUUUUCAUCUGCAUCCAGUUAGCAAUAUGGUUGAGAAGCAAGUGGAGAAUUAACAUCCACUGGAAUUAAAACACUCAGCUCGCCCAUUUCUACAGCAUUUACCAGGAGCCUCUUCUGCUUGGAACCUGGCUAGGUGUUGGCCUGGACCCGUGGAAGGCAUGCCCCCUGCUCCUCAGAGGCACCAAGUUCAGCA
rnacentral:lncRNA from 1 species